GUGCUUUGUUAAAUUACGUUCUGUAGGACCAGGGUUGGUGAGGCAAAAUCAAUUAUAAAAUGGAAAAUUCAUAAAGUCCAUCCAGGAGCUUCCUGUAUUUUUAGGAAAAGGAUGUUGAGAUUUCUUGGAGCCACAGAAAUCCUUGUAUAUUGAACUAAAAAUAGAGAGGGAAAGAGAAGAUGUGGAAAGUGCAUCCAUUUGCUCUAAACAUUCCAAGGCAAUCAUUUGCUUUUCUCAUCUCCAUCCUCUUCCUCUAAGCCAGCAGAUGUAUGUGCUAGCUUGGCUCCCACACUGAACUCACAUUUUGAGAUCCACAUCCGGUCAGAGGAACAAAGUUCAAUGUCAUUGUUCUCUGGUAAGUAUUGUGUAAGAUUUUCUCUUAAUCCUUGAUGAUCUGUCAGUAGCUAGAUUCCUGCCCUUGCAUCAAUAACUACUUCAUAAGACUCAUUCUUCACCUUCACUGACCUUCAACUCUACACUCUACCUCUGCCUCACCCUUGGUUCCCACUCUGCACUUCCUCCCAGGCAGUCUGCCACCUGGCUUCUCUAACUCCUGCCUUGAGCCAAAUCCCGACAGGACUUGUUACUUUCACUUGCUCUUUUUUCCUCCCAUUUUAGCAGCCAAGGAUGGGAAUUACACAGCGAAAUGCAGGCUAAUCAGCUAAAUCUAGAUUAAAUAUGCUAGUCCUUGGGGACCUUGAGCUGAAUUAAUGGAAACCGAGGUUUUUAAUGUUCCAGACUAAUUUUGGAAGCUCACUUCCAGCAGAGGCAAACUUGAGGCUGUCCAAAGGGAGCAGAUGGCAAGGCUUUCUCCAGGUGCACCAACCUUUGAAACAGCCCUCGGCAAAACCAUGAGGAAGGGAGGAGGCUCCAUGAUCUUACCUUCCCAAUUAUGAAGUAAGCAACGAUGACCUCUUAAACUCGUGAAUCUAACAGUGGUUGGGCAUAGAUAAUUGCUGUGAAAUACUUGAUGACUGAUUAGCUUUGAUAAAGAAUUCUGAGAUAAUUUUUAUGCUGUUGUUACUAAUCCCACCCUCAGCAUUCUUUCAAAAAUGAGAUUAUUUGUCUUUUUCUUCAUGGCCUUGGUGGAAAUAUAAAUUUCUUUUUAACCCUAAAAUUGUCUUGGACUUAUAACUUGAGAUAUCCUAUGAGAAACAGAUUAAUUAUGCCUGCUAAUUUUGGAACAAACUAUCAGCCUAAUAAUGUCUUUCUAGUUCCAUCUUCCAUCAUUUGAAAUUCCAGUAAAGUAAUACUUGUUGAGUACUAACAUUUAUAUGUAUUUUACGUCAAUGAUCUGAACGUA
rnacentral:lncRNA from 1 species